CGCUGUUUAUAACUUUGUAGUAAUAAGAAAAAUCUCUAGACCAAGGCUACCUGAAAGGUAGAUCCCGGUGUUUUAAAACUAGAGAUUCUAUGAUGCCUUGUCAUUCCAAAGGCAUGCAAAGCAUCAUGGGAGUUUUAGUUCUGCAGUGUCUGGGGAUCUACCCUUUGGGCACCCCCUGCUCUAGACUAAAAUGUUGCAAAGAUGUGAUCAGUUUCUCACACCCCUCCCGGAUUAUCCUAAACUGCCCUUCAGGAUUUCAAUAACCCUGCAAGCUUGUAGUCACCAUGGAACUCUAAAUUUUGGGCAUCUGUCAUCAGUACAGAAGACAUGCUCUCCCUGCAGUGAGAGUCAU